rnacentral:tRNA from 1 species
GGUCCGUUGGUCAAGGGUUAAGACACCGCCUUUUCACGGCGUAACACGGGUUCGAAUCCCGUACGGACUA